rnacentral:rRNA from 1 species
UGCGGAGAGUUUGAUCCUGGCUCAGGAUGAACGCUGGCGGCGUGCUUAAUACAUGCAAGUCGAACGGAGACAAUAGCAAUAUUGUUUUAGUGGCGAACGGGUGAGUAACGCGUUGGUGACCUGCCCCGAAGAGAGGGAUAACAGUUCGAAAGGAUUGCUAAUACCCCAUGUGGUCAUUUGGAUUAGAUGCCUUAUGACUAAACGGAUUUAUUCGCUUCGGGAGGGGCCUGCGUCCCAUCAGCUAGUUGGUAGGGUAAUGGCCUACCAAGGCG